rnacentral:rRNA from 1 species
CAGGAUGAACGCUAGCGGCAGGCCUAAUACAUGCAAGUCGAACGGGAUUGCGGUGUAGCUUGCUACACUGCAUGAGAGUGGCGCACGGGUGCGUAACGCGUGAGCAACCUACCCAUAUCAGGGGGAUAGCCCGGAGAAAUCCGGAUUAACACCGCAUGGGACAGUAUUACCGCAUGGUAUAGCUGUUAAAUAUUUAUAGGAUAUGGAUGGGCUCGCGUGACAUUAGCUAGUUGGUGGGGUAACGGCCCACCAAGGCGACGAUGUCUAGGGGCUCUGAGAGGAGAAUCCCCCACACUGGUACUGAGACACGGACCAGACUCCUACGGGAGGCAGCAGUAAGGAAUAUUGGUCAAUGGGCGGAAGCCUGAACCAGCCAUGCCGCGUGCAGGACGACUGCCCUAUGGGUUGUAAACUGCUUUUGUACGGGAAUAACCCUCUCUACGAGUAGAGAGCUGAACGUACCGUAAGAAUAAGGAUCGGCUAACUCCGUGCCAGCAGCCGCGGUAAUACGGAGGAUCCGAGCGUUAUCCGGAUUUAUUGGGUUUAAAGGGUGCGUAGGCGGCACUUUAAGUCAGGAGUGAAAGACGGCAGCUCAACUGUCGCAGUGCUCUUGAUACUGAAGUGCUUGAAUGCCGUUGAAGAUGGCGGAAUGAGACAAGUAGCGGUGAAAUGCAUAGAUAUGUCUCAGAACUCCGAUUGCGAAGGCAGCUAUCUAAGCGGUGAUUGACGCUGAUGCACGAAAGCGUGGGGAUCGAACAGGAUUAGAUACCCUGGUAGUCCACGCCCUAAACGAUGAUGACUCGAUGUUGGCGAUACACAGUCAGCGUCCAAGCG